GCAGUACAUAGUUAGUCCGAUGC
rnacentral:siRNA from 1 species